rnacentral:rRNA from 1 species
GAUGAACGCUAGCGGGAGGCCUAACACAUGCAAGCCGAGCGGGAUUUGAGACUAGCUUGCUAGUCUUAAUGAGAGCGGCGUACGGGUGCGGAACACGUGUGCAACCUGCCUUUAUCUGGGAGAUAGCCUUUCGUAAGGAAGAUUAAUAUCCCAUAAUAUAAUGAUUGGCAUCAAUUAUUAUUGAAAGCUCAGGCGGAUAGAGAUGGGCACGCGCAAGAUUAGAUAGUUGGUGAGGUAACGGCUCACCAAGUCCAUGAUCUUUAGGGGGCCUGAGAUGGUGAUCCCCCACACUGGUACUGAGACACGGACCAGACUCCUACGGGAGGCAGCAGUGAGGAAUAUUGGACAAUGGGUGAAAGCCUGAUCCAGCCAUCCCGCGUGAAGGAUUAAGGACCUAUGGUUUGUAAACUUCUUUUCUACAGGGAUAAACCUACUCUCGUGAGAGUAGCUGAAGGUACUGUAGGAAUAAGCACCGGCUAACUCCGUGCCAGCCGCCGCCGUAAAAC